UUUUGCCAUUUUCAGGGGUUGUACUUUAACGAACUCCUCCUAGAGAUUUAUUCAGAUCAACACCAAACUUUGUCAGUGUAAUCUAAAGGCCUUUGCGAUGUUAAAUUGCGAAGAUCUUGAGGUUUUCGUUUAAGGGCGUGUCUGUGGCGGCCUUACAAAUUUCGAUGUUUCGCCAUGAGAAAGGAAGUUGCUAUAACUCAGACAUACAAUGUCCAAUCUGCCCCAAACUUCACAUGUUUGAGAAGACUCCUGACCUGAAUAUAUCUACAUGCCAAUAUUCAGAUAUCGCUAUAGCGCCACCUGCUGGCAACAGGAAGUGACAUGUUUUACGCCGUAACAAACUACUCCUAGAAAUUUUAUGACAUUUUAUAAUUUUUUUUGGUCAGUCUAAUCUAAAGGCCUUUGCGAUGUUAAAUUGUGAACAUCUUGAGGUUUUUCAUUAAAGGGUGUGGCCAUGGCGCCGUGACAAAGUUCGAUGUCUCGCCAUGGGAAUAGAAGUUGUUGUAACUCAGGCAUAAGAUGUCCGAUCUUCCCCAAACUUCACAUGUUCGAAAAGAGUCUUGGCCUGAACACAUCUGAAGGUCAUUAUUCCACUAUAAUCAUAGCGCCACCUGCUGACAACAGAAAAUGGCUUGUUUUACACUAACUUAAACAUGCAAUGUCCAAUCUGCACCAAACUUCAAAUAUUUGAUAAGAGUCAUGGCCUGAAGAUAUCUAAAGGCCAAUGUUCAGUUAUAAUCAUAGCGCCACCUGUUGGCAAUAGGACACAACAUGCUUUAUACUAACUCAAACAUUCCAUGUUCAAUCUGCACUAAAUUUCAUAUGCUUGAUAAAAGUGCUGGACUGAAGAAAUCUACAUGACAAAAUCCAGUUAUAGUCAUAGCGCCACCAGCUGGCAGCAGGAAGAUUGGCACAUAUAAAUGACUUUGACAUAUUCCUCUUAUAUUUACCACAUUAAAACGCAUAUUUCUCACCGUUCGCUGUUUUACAAAAGCCACCCGGUGGUGGUGAGCCCGGGUGCGAGGGCCCGUUCAUCGCUGCUUGCAGCUUUAAUUAGGGCUCAAGCCUGGAGGGCGAAGAGCCCUAUUGUUUUCCUUAGGAUUAUUUUUUUUUUUUUUUUCUUUCUUUAUUCCUCUAAUUUUUUUCCAAGGGUUCGGGGGCUUUUGGGGCCCUUAACAUGCUUAAAAAAAGUCUUGAAAAUUGGCACACACCUUGGAAUCUGCGGCCAUUAGGGCCGGGCAGAGACUGAUACACGGGCGUGGCACAGGGGCUCUACAGCGCCCCCUGGAAUAUUGAGGGCCAUAUAUCAUCCAUACUUGCACGUAUACAUAUGAAACUCGGUACACAUGUAGAUCUCAUCAAACCAAACAACUUUCGCACUGCAUGUCAUAAGCUCCACCCAACAGGAAGUUGGCUAUUUAGGGUUUUGUGAAAAACACAUGCUCUGGAAUUUGAUAUACUCCUCUGAGGAACUCCACCCGUUCGCCACAAAACUCGGUGAACAUGAUCUCAAGACAUUGGGGAUGCUAAAUUGCGAAGAUAUUUUUGAUAUCUCGAACGGUUUGUCCGUGGCGAGGCGUUGAAAUUAUGGCGAGAAAUGAGUAACAGGAAAUGUCUAAUAACAUUCACAUACAUUACCUGAUUUUAGAUCAAACUUCAUCGGUUUGUUCGUUGUAUGAUGCCGAUCGCAUAUAUGUGACUAUUAGGAGUCAAAGUUACAGCGCCACCAACUGGCAGCAGGAAGUGUGUCAUUUUCAAAAUGCUUUGAAUUCAGCAUCUUAUUUUUACUCGAUUUGCUUCAAACUUCAUCAGAAUAAUGAUAAAACACGGCCGAUGUAGAUCUGUUGUGGGGAUAUUGAUAUCUAACAUAGUGUUGCCAUGGCAACACUUCAAACUUGAAUAUUCUUUUCUGGGGAUUUUGAGGCAGAUAACAUGCUCAGAAUUACAUAAAACUCAGAACACAUAUCAGUAUUAAUGAUAGCUAGACACUGGCAAAAGCUCAUGAACGGGCGUGGAGGAGCCACUCUAUAGCGCCACCUUUUGUCAAAAGUGGGGGGGUUAGUUUUAGCUACAGACACCAAACUCAGUACAUGAAUUGUUCUUAUCAAGACGGACAACUUUCUCAUUUACAGUCAUCAGCUACGACCAACAGGAAGUCGGUUAUAUUGAUUUGAAUAUGGAUUUUUGGAAAAAUAUAGCUGUGAAUUAAUGCAUACUGCUCAGAGCAGAAUUACAGUAUACACACCAAACUUUGUCUACAUGAUGCCAAAACAUUGAGGAACUUAAAUUGCGAAUGGAUUUUGGAUAGCUUGAACGGUUUCGCCGUAGUGAUUUAUUGAAAUAACAGUAAAAAAGUAAACAUAAAUUGUCUUAUAUUUCUUAAAGUGCAGCUUCCAAACACUUCAAAAUUUUUAUAUAUAGAGGACAAGUCAUUCUGAGCAAAUAUGCAUAGUUUCACGACUUUACAAUGCUCUAUGGAUAAUAGAAAAUUAAAAAACUGUCAGUCAUCUGUUAUCACUCUGAGGCCACUCUCUGUGUGAGAAAAAGGAGGGGGCUGAGUCACUCUGAUGGCUCUGCCAUUGCCCUUUGAAGAAUGUGUGUGUGUUGAGAGUAUGUGUGUGACAGAGAAAGAGAGAGAGAGAGAGAGAGAGAGAGAGAGAGAGAGAUAUCAAGCUAUCCAGAGAGAGAGAGACUUAAACAUCUCUUUAAUCAUCAGAAAAAAAAAAUCAGUAUUUUAAAUUGAUAUUGUUUAUGUUGUUGCUAAUGGUGUCAAAAAAAUCAUAGACUGCAUAGUCUUCACUGUUUAAAACUAAAUAUAGAUUAAUCGUUUUUGAUGUUACAAAGGUUAUUUAGGUGGGGUUUUUUUUCCAAAAAAAUCAGAAAAAAAUCAAAUGUAAAUAACAGCAUAGUCUUCACUGUUUAAAACUAAAUAUAGAUUAAUCAUUUUUUUGAUGUUACAAAGGUUAUUUAGUCAGAAGCAGUGAGCACUUGUAUUUUUCUUUGACAGCAUUAGAUUUAUUAUUAGUUUGCUUUCACUUUAAGAACCAAUCACGGGUUUAAUAUACACAUGCCUUUUCUUUCUGAACUGUUAACAUUAAGAAAUAUGCCUAACUGACUGUGUUUACUAGGAUAUUCCCCAAAACGCGCAUUUAGAUGUUAUUAUGUAUUUAUUGAUCCAUGCACAAAAAAGCGGAAGAUAGCUCAGUUUAGUAUUCGCGCGUGCGGCUGUCUGUGUGCGUGCACGCGCUUCAGAUGUGUGCGGUGAAAACUCACACAGCGCUCGACUGUUCCGCGAACAAUCCCGAGCGUCUUAUAUGCUCACCUUGUGCCUUAUACCGAGUCCUAAUCGGUGAGUUUGAACGAGAAUGCACCCGUCGACGGACAUUAUGUGAAAAAUGUAGACAGUGUCAAAUAAGCUGCCUAUUUAUAUAACAGAUAUCGAUAUUGUACGUGUGCUAUCGAUGCAUCGAUCGAUCCAUAUCGAUGAAUCAAUACACCCCUAAUAUAUCAAAUGUAAAUAACUGCAAAGUCUUCGCUGUUUAAAACUAAAUAUAGAUUAAUCGUUUUUGAUUUUACAAAGGUUAUUUAGGUGUUUUUUUUUAGGUGCUAUCGAUGCAUCGAUCCAUAUCGAUGAAUCAAUACACCCCUAAUAUAGGCUAUAUAUAUAUAUAUAUAUAUAUAUAUAUAUAUAUAUAUAUAUAUAUACAUAUAUAUAAUUGCAUAGGUUUAUAAUAAUAAUAAUAAUAAUAAUAAUUUCAAACUCAUUUAAAUACUGACCUAUGACAUCCUGUGACAUGACAUGUAUCUGAAUUUACACAAACUCGUGAUGUAACAGUAAAACAGUUCAGCUCACAGAUGAAGACUAAGCUGUAAUGCCGGCAAAAAUAUUUCACAAAUGCUUAUAGAUCAAUAAAAUCAUUAAACAUGCUAUGCACGGCGUGCAUCAUUAUUAGGCACUUGAUAUUCUGAUGAUAUUUUCCAAGCACAUUUUUCCAAUUCCACAUCCCAUCAGUCUUAAUAACUACUAUACAUUUGGUAUUUGAUCAUUUAUGAGUGAUAUAUAAUUGUCCAUUAUUGCUGGAAGUGAAAAAAACUGCUUAUAUUCAGGAGUGCUGAAUUAUUAGGCAUGUUUUUCUUUUUACUGAUAAAAUUAGCCCAAAAAAAUAACAUACUGUUCUGCAGAUGUUAUAACAUAUCACAUGAAAGUAAUUAUUUUUUUGUAGAGAGGUUUUUUUGAAUUUUUCCUUAUGGUAAGAUGGAUAUAUAUUGUAGAUCAGUGAAAGUAAUGUGUAAACAGCAUCAUGUAAUAUUUUUUAUGAUGGUUAGUUGCAUAUUUGUCUAUUUUAGUUUCCAUAAAGUUACUCUUAAAAAGCUCAUUUUUAUUCCAUCUUCUAUUCUGAAAAGUCUUAAUUCUUAAUUCUUUUGCAGUUAACUUGUGUCUUUUCUCCACCUGUCAAUUUCUGUAUUGCAAUAGUUUUGAAUAAUUCUCAUGGGGAUUUAAUAAUUUUUUUGACUUUUCAGUCUGAGUUACAACUCUUUUUUGGCUCAUUUCAUCUGUAAAAAAAAGAAUUGCCUAAUAAUUCUGCACACCUGAAUAUAAGGAGUUUUUCUCUUCCAGCCUUCAGGGACAAUUAUAUAUCACUCAUAAAUGAUUGAAUACAAAAUUAAUGGUAGUUAUUAAGAUUGAUGUCAUUGGGAAUUGGUAAAAUAUGCUUGGGAAAAAAAAAUCAGAAUAUCAACAUGCCUAAUAAUUGUGCACACAGUGUAAAUCAAUAAAGGUUUUAGUAACACUUUAUAAUAAGGUGUAAUUUGUAAACAUUAGUAAAUGAACAUGAACAAUAUAUUUUCACAGAAUUUAUUAAUGUUUGUUGAUUUUAGUUCACAGUGCAUUAACUAAUGUUAACAGAUAAUUUUUUUUUUUUAAGUUUUGACUAUUAACUGACAUUGACAUGCUAUAUAAUUAUUGUUCAUGUUAAUUAAUAUAGUUAAUGUUAAUAACUGAAACCUUAUUAAAAGUGUUACUAAAGUUUUAUAUAUUGUUCUGUGUGUGUGUGUGUCUUUCAUAGUCUUGAUGGUUUGGAUUAACCCUUUAUUUGCUGAAUCCUUAAAACCAGACUGCCAUAGAGUUACUGUAAAUGCAUGUGCCCGCUGGGCACAAUUUUCCUGAUGCCACCGGGGCGGUGUUUGCGCUGAUGGCUUGAGCCCGCCAUCGCUGCUUGCAGCUAUAUUUAGGGCUCAAGCCCGAAGGGGCGAAGAGCCCUAUUGUUUUCCUAAGGAUUAUUCUUAUUAUUUUUUUUAUUUUUCCUUAAACCUUCCGGGGGUUUUUGGGUGCCUUAACAUACUCAAAAACUCUUGAAAAUUGGCACACACAUUGGAACCUGCGGCCAUCAGGACGGCGCAGAGGCUGGGACCCGGGCGUGGCACAGGGACUCUACAGCGCCCCCUGGAACAAAUUCAGAAAUCUUGAACCAUAGCUCACACAUACUUGCAUGUAUUUAUAUGAAACUCUGUACACUUAUAGAUCUCAUUGAGCCGAACAACUUUCGCGCUCUAUGUCAUAGGCUCCGCCCAACAGGAAGUGAGUUAUUCAAGGCUGUUUAAAAAAAGCAUGCUCUGGAAUUUGAUAUACUCCUCUGAGGUCUUUCCAACCCGUUUGCCUCGAAAACUCAGUGAACAUGAUGUCAAGACAUUGGGGAUGCAAAAUUGCCAGGGGAUUUUUGAUAUCUCGAACGGUUUGCCCGUGGCGAGGCGUUGAAAUUAGGGCAAAAAAUGAGAAACAGGAAAUGUCUAAUAACAUCCACAUACAUCUCCUGAGUUUGAUCAAACUUCAUCGGAUUGUUUGUUGUAUGAUGCCGAUUGCAUACAUGUUACUAUUAGGAGUCAAAGUUAUAGCGCCACCAACUGGCAGCAGGAAGUGUGUCAUUUUCAAAAUGCUUUGAAUUCAGCAUCUUAUUUUUACUUGAUUUGCUUCAAACUUCAUCAGAAUAAUGACAAAACACGGCCGAUGUAAAUCUGUUGUGGGGAUAUUGAUAUCUAAUAUAAUGUUGCCAUGGCAACGUGUCAAAGUUGAAUAUUCUGUUCUGGUGAUUUUGAGGCAGAUUAACAUGCUCAGAAUUACAUGAAACUCAAAACACAUAUCAG
ensembl:lncRNA